UGCGUAGGUGGUGUUGUGUGUCGGAUGUGAAAUCUCAUCGCUCAACGGUGAAACUGCAUUCGAAACUGCAACGCUAGAGGGCAGGAGAGGAAAGCGGAAUUCUUGGUGUAGCGGUGGAAUGCGUUGAUAUCAAGAAGAACACCUGUGGCGAAGGCGGCUUUCUGGAAUGCUACUGACACUGAGGCACGAAAGUUGGGGUAGCGAACAGGAUUAGAUACCCUGGUAGUCC
rnacentral:rRNA from 1 species